GUAGGAAAUGCUUAACUCCAAUUUGUUAUUUUAAGCCUACUUCCCAAAUAAUCCCACCUGUAACCUUAGCCCCGUUACACCAUGAAAGUCCUUAAAAGUGUGUAUUGUGAUGUAACUUUGAUUGAUGUUUAGAAGUUUUUCAAGUUUUGGUAAUAUAGUGAUUAGUAUGUCGACUUGUGUACCCUUUUAUCCAUGAUAUUGCGUGAAGUUGUGGAAUGGAUGUUCUAGCAAGCAAGUUAGCCCAC
rnacentral:lncRNA from 1 species